AGUGACCGAUAGCGCAUAGUACUGUGAAGGAAAGGUGAAAAGGACCCCGGGAGGGGAGUGAAAGAGAACCUGAAACCCUGUGUCUACAAGCUGUGGAAGAUCUUUACAUGAUCAACCGCGUACUUUUUGUAGAACGGUCCGGCGAGUUGCCAUGUCUGGCAAGGUUAAGUACUUAAGGUACGGAGCCGAAGUGAAAGCAAGUGUUAACAGCACGUAAAGUCAGACCGGGCAGACCCGAAACCGGGUGAUCUACCCAUGUCCAGGUUGAAGUUGCCGUAAAAGGCAAUGGAGGACCGAACGCACAUCCGUUGAAAAGGGUGGCGAUGAGGUGUGGGUAGGGGAGAAAUUCCAAUCGAACCCGGAGAUAGCUGGUUCUCCUCGAAAUAGCUUUAGGGCUAGCCUCGUUUUAGUCUUAUGGAGGUAGAGCACUGAAUUUCCGCGGGGGCGUCAAAGCUUACCAAAGAAUAUCAAACUCCGAAUGCCAUGUAGAUGAUGAACGGGAGUCAGACUGCACGAGAUAAGUUGGGCAGUCAAAAGGGAAAGAGCCCAGACCGCCAGCUAAGGUCCCAAAGUGUGUGUUAAGUGGAAAAGGAUGUGGGAUUUCGAAGACAACUAGGAUGUUGGCUCAGAAGCAGCCAUACAUUCAAAGAGUGCGUAAUAGCUCACUAGUCGAGAGGUCCUGCGCCGAAAAUGUCCGGGGCUGAAACACGACACCGAAGCUUAGGAAUCGAAAGAUUGGUAGAGGAGCAUUGAAUACGGAACGAAGCAGUACCGGAAGGAGCUGUGGACUGUAUUGAAGAGAGAAUGCCGGAAUGAGUAGCGAGAUUUAAGUGAGAAUCUUAAAGGCCGAAUAUCUAAGGUUUCCAGGGUAAAGCUGAUCUUCCCUGGGUAAGUCGGGGCCUAAGGCGAGGACGAAAGUCGUAGUCGAUGGAUAACAGGUUGAAAUUCCUGUACCGCAUAUAUUCAGAAAUGUGGGGACACAGAUGGAGAGUACAACCCGGGAAUGGAUAGACCGGGGCAAGCGAGGUAGGAGAAUGGCAGGCAAAUCCACCAUUCAAUCUGAAGACGUGACGCGUACCGAACAAGAGUAGGGAAGUGUAUGAGCCAGCUGUCGAGAAAAGCCGCUAUUGUGAUAUAUGUGCCCGUACCGUAAACCGACACAGGUGGAUGAGGAGAGAAUCCUAAGGCCGACGGAAGAAGCAUUGUUAAGGAAUUCGGCAAAAUGACCCCGUAACUUCGGGAGAAGGGGUGCCCACUGAAUGGUGGGCCGCAGAGAAUAGGCUCAAGCAACUGUUUAGCAAAAACACAGGUCUAUGCGAAACCGAAAGGUGAGGUAUAUGGGCUGACGCCUGCCCGGUGCUGGAAGGUUAAGAGGAGAGGUUAGCGCAAGCGAAGCUUUGAAUUUAAGCCCCAGUAAACGGCGGCCGUAACUAUAACGGUCCUAAGGUAGCGAAAUUCCUUGUCGGGUAAGUUCCGACCCGCACGAAAGGCGUAAUGAUUUGAGCACUGUCUCGACAAUGCAUCCGGUGAAAUUGAAGUACCAGUGAAGAUGCUGGUUACCUGCGCCAGGACGGAAAGACCCCAUGGAGCUUUACUCCAGCUUGAUACUGGGAUUCGGUACUACCUGUACAGGAUAGGUGGGAGGCUUCGAUCACGGGACGCCAGUUUCGUGUGAGCCGCUGUUGGGAUACCACCCUUGUAGUACUGGAUUCCUAACCUACAGCCGUGAACCGGCUGGGGGACAAUGUCUGGCGGGGAGUUUGACUGGGGCGGUCGCCUCCGAAAGGGUAUCGGAGGCGCUCAAAGGUUCCCUCAGAAUGGUUGGAAACCAUUCGAAGAGUGCAAAGGCAGAAGGGAGCUUGACUGCGACACCGACGGGUGGAGCAGGUACGAAAGUAGGACUUAGUGAUCCGGUGGUAUAAAGUGGGAUUGCCAUCGCUCAACGGAUAAAAGCUACCCUGGGGAUAACAGGCUUAUCACUCCCAAGAGUUCACAUCGACGGAGUGGUUUGGCACCUCGAUGUCGGCUCAUCGCAUCCUGGGGCUGUAGCAGGUCCCAAGGGUUGGGCUGUUCGCCCAUUAAAGCGGUACGCGAGCUGGGUUCAGAACGUCGUGAGACAGUUCGGUCCCUAU
rnacentral:rRNA from 1 species